UUAGGGUUAGGGUUAGGGUUAGUGUUAUUGUUAGGGUUAGGGUAAGGCAUAGGUUUAGGGUAAGGGUUAGGGUUAGGGUUAGGGUAGGGUUAGGGUUAGGGUUAGGGUUAGGGUUACGGUAGGGUUAGGGUUUGGGUUACGGUAGGGUUAGGGUUAGGUUACAGUAAGUUUAGGGUUAUGGUAAAGGUUAGGGUUAGGGGUAACGUUAGGGUUGCGGUAGGGUUAGUGUUAGGUUUAGGGUCAGGGUUGGGGUUAGGGUUAGUGUUAGGUUUUGGUUUAGGCUUAGGAUUAGUUUUUGGGUUGGGGUUAGGUUAGGGUUAGGGUUAGGGGUUAGGGAAGGGGUUAGGGUUAGGGUUAGGGUUAGGGUUAGGGUUAGGGUUAGGGUUAGGGUUAGGGUUAGGGUUAGGGUUAGCGUUAAUGUUAGGGUUAAUGUUAGGGUUAGUGUAGGGUUAGGGUUAGGCUUAGGGUUAGGGUUAGGGGUAGGGUUAGGGUUAGGGUUAGGGUUAGGGUUAGGGUUAGGGUUAGGGUUAGGGUUAGGGUUAGGGUUAGGGUUAGGGUUAGGGUUCGGGUUAGGGAUUGGGUUUGGGUUAGGGAUAGGGAUAGGGUUAGGGUUAGGAUAAGGGUAAGGUUUUUGUUAGGCGUAGGUUUAUGGUUACGUUUUGGGUUGGGGUUAAGUUAGCAUUUGGUUUAAAGUUAGGGAAAGGAUAAGGGUUAGGAGUAGGUUUAGGGAAUGGGUUCGGGUUAGGGUAGGGUUAGUGUUAGGGUACGUUUAGGGUAAGGGUAAGUGUUCGGUUUCUGGUUAGGGUUAUUGUAGGGUUAAGGUUAGGGUUACAGUAAGGGUAGGGUUAGGGUUUGGUUUUGGGUUAGGGUUAGGUUUAGGGUUUGGGUAAGGGUUAGUGUUAUUGUUAGGGUUAGGCUUAAGUUUAGGUUUAGUGUAAGGGUUUAGGGUUAGGGUUAAGGUUACAGUAAGUUUAGGGUUAUGGUAACGGUUAGGGAUAGGAUUAUGGUAGGGUUAGGGUUAGAGGUAAUGUUAGUUUUAGGGUUAGGUUUAGGGUCCGGGUUGGGGUUAGGGUUAGGGUUAGGUUUUGGUUUAGGCUUAGGAUUAGAUUUUGGGUUGGGGUUAGGUUAGGGUUAGGUUUAGGUUUAGGGUGAGCAUUAGUGUUAUUUUUAGGGUUAGGGUUCGGAUUAAGUUUAGCGUUAGGGUUUAGGUUUAGUGUUAGGGUUAAGGUUACGGUAUGUUUAGGGUUAUGAUAAAGGUUAGGUUUAGAGGUAAGGUUAGGGUUAGGUUUAGGGUCAGGGUUAAUGUUAGUGUUAGGUUUAGGGUUAGGGUUUAGGGUUAGGGUAAGGGUUAGGUUUUUGCUUGGGGUUAGCUUAAGGUUAGGGUUAGGGUUAGGUUUAGACACAUUAGGGUUAGGGUUGGGCACGUUAGGGUUAGGGUUUGGCACGUUAGAGUUAGGGUUAGCGUUAGGUUUAGACAUUAGGGUUAGGGUUAGGCACGUUAGGGUUAGGGUUAGGGUUAGGGUUAGGCACAUUAGGGUUAGGGUUAGGGUUAGGGUUAGGGUUAGGGUUAGGGUUAGGGUUAGGGUUAGGGUUAGGGUUAGGGUUAGGGGUAGGGUUAGGGAUAGGGUUAGGGUUAGGUUUAGGGUUAGACACAUUAGUGUUAUGGUUAGGCACGUUAGGGUUAGGGUUAGGCACGUUAGGGUUAGUGUUAGGGUUAGGUUUAGGCACAUUAGGGUUAGGGUUAGGCUCGUUAGGGUUAGGGUUAGGGUUAGGCACGUUAGGGUUAGGAUUAGGGUUAGGCACGUUAGGGUUAGGGAUAGGCACGUUAGGGUUAGGGUUAGGGUUAGGCACAUUAGGGUUAGGGUUAGGGUUAGGCACGUUAGGGUUAGGGUAAGGCACAUUAGGGUUAGGGUUAGGCACUUUAGGGUUAGGGUUAGGGUUAGGCACAUUAGGGUUAGGGUUAGUGUUAGGGUUAGGGUUAGGGUUAGGGUUAGGGUUAGGGUUAGGGUUUGGGUUAGGGUUAGGGUUAGGGUUAGGGUUAGGGUUAGGGUAAGGUUAGGGUUAGGGUUAGGUUUUGGUUAAGGGUUAGGGUUAGGAUUUGGCUUAUUGUUAUGAUUAGGGUUAGGGUAAGGGUUUGGAUUAGGAUAAGGCUAUGGUUAGGGUUUGUUUUAGGGUUAUGGAUAGGAUUAAGGUUAGUGUUAGUUUUUUGGUUAGUGUUAGGGUUAUGUUAGGUUUAGGGUUAGGGUUAGGGUUAAGGUUAUAUUCUGUUUAGGGUUAGGUUUAGGGUUAGGGUUAAGGUUAGGGUUUGUCUUAAUGUUGGUUUAGGGAAAGGGUUGUGUUAGUGUUAGGGUUUAGGUUUAUAGUUUGUGUUACGACUAAGUUUAGGUUUAGGGUAAGGGUUAGUGUUUCUUUUAAUGUAGGUAUAGGGUUAGGGUUAGGCUUAGUUUGGAGAGGUUUAUUGAUGACUGGCUGACUGAGAAAAGCCACGCAGACACUGUGCAGCUGGUUAAGCAACCUUGUCACACUCAAGAUCAGGUAUGAGAACAAGGAACAAAACAGGAUGCAGUUGAAGAAAGCUGGCAACAGUGUUUUGAGAAGUCAGUAAGAGUGUUUGCUGAGAG
ensembl:lncRNA